UCACAGAGAUUUAAUGUCUUUAUCGAUUAGUUUCACCUUCUCUUGUUGUAUAUAGAUUUAUCGACUACUUGGGGCUCCUCGUGGUCUGACUGGGAAAAACAAAUAUGGCAGCGCCCUACAUGUAGGCAUGCUACAUAUUCUUAUUUACAACCUUUUGGUUAAACUGUGCUAGUUCACACUUUCAUUUCACCGCUUCAUGUCCAUGUGGGGUCUGUACCAGACAACGUUAACUGCUUUUGUCAUCUGUACCAGAUACAUGUUGAUUUUCGGAAUAAAUGGACAAAUUGGUGACACUAUCUGUGAUUGUGGUUCAUAUGUCAAUCGUGCGACAGAAUAGUG